UACGGGGGGGGCAAGCGUUGUUCGGAAUUACUGGGCGUAAAGGGCUCGUAGGCGGCCAAUUAAGUCAGACGUGAAAUCCCUCGGCUUAACCGGGGAACUGCGUCUGAUACUGGAUGGCUCGAGUUUGGGAGAGGGAUGCGGAAUUCCAGGUGUAGCGGUGAAAUGCGCAGAUAUCAGGAGGAACACCGGUGGCGAAGGCGGGUCUCUGGGCCGAUACUGACGCUGAGGAGCGAAAGCGUGGGGAGCGAACAGG
rnacentral:rRNA from 1 species